rnacentral:rRNA from 1 species
AGAGUUUGAUCCUGGCUCAGAACGAACGCUGGCGGCAGGCUUAACACAUGCAAGUCGAACGAAGUCUUCGGACUUAGUGGCGCACGGGUGAGUGACGCGUGGGAACAUACCUUUUGGUGGGGGAUAACGUCGGGAAACUGACGCUAAUACCGCAUAAGCCCUUUGGGGGAAAGAUUUAUCGCCGAAAGAUUGGCCCGCGUCUGAUUAGCUAGUUGGUGGGGUAAAGGCUUACCAAGGCGACGAUCAGUAGCUGGUCUGAGAGGAUGACCAGCCACACUGGGACUGAGACACGGCCCAGACUCCUACGGGAGGCAGCAGUGGGGAAUAUUGGACAAUGGGCGCAAGCCUGAUCCAGCC